rnacentral:rRNA from 1 species
GAUGAACGCUAGCUACAGGCUUAACACAUGCAAGUCGAGGGGAAACGACAUCGAAAGCUUGCUUUUGAUGGGCGUCGACCGGCGCACGGGUGAGUAACGCGUAUCCAACCUGCCCACCACUUGGGGAUAACCUUGCGAAAGUAAGACUAAUACCCAAUGAUAUCUCUAGACGACAUCUGAAAGGGAUUAAAGAUUUAUCGGUGAUGGAUGGGGAUGCGUCUGAUUAGCUUGUUGGCGGGGUAACGGCCCACCAAGGCAACGAUCAGUAGGGGUUCUGAGAGGAAGGUCCCCCACAUUGGAACUGAGACACGGUCCAAAACUCCUACGGGAGGCAGCAGUGAGGAAUAUUGGUCAAUGGGCGAGAGCCUGAACCAGCCAAGUAGCGUGCAGGAUGACGGCCCUAUGGGUUGUAAACUGCUUUUAUAAGGGAAUAAAGUGAGUCUCGUGAGACUUUUUGCAUGUACCUUAUGAAUAAGGACCGGCUAAUUCCGUGCCAGCAGCC